rnacentral:lncRNA from 1 species
CUACCUCGAUGAUCUAACGUUGUACAUAGAAUGAGGAAUCAAGAAAACUUAGAAAGUGGGUAAACCUGAACGUAUAUUGAUGCAACCAUUACAGGAACAGCAACAAUGAGAACUUGCCAUGUGACUGAAACCAUUAUACAAAUUACCACCAAAAUUUCAAUUGCUGUUGAUGCUACAAAGGUGAUGGAAUAAGGUAUAUCAAAGUCCAAAAUACUCAAAUCUGAUGAAGCCUGCAUAAAAGAGAAAAUAUUUGAUUAAUUAGUAAUGAACGAACAGAAGGGAAAUACAUAGAUUUUUUUACCUUUGUUGGGAAUGAAUAAAUCUUACCCUAGUUAAAAUCCUUCCUACAGGAGUUGAAUCAAAGAAAAGCAUAGGAGCGUUGAAGAUAGCUGUCGUAAAGCUUGAAAAAAUAGCAGUAGAAGCUUUUAAUCCCAAAAGUGCAGUCAAGUAAGACCUUAAAUAUACAAAAGCAGCACUAGAAAAAGAAAUUAAUGCAUAAACUCCAAUCAAGGUGGUAUUAGUUACUUUUGGAAUUUCAAUGCCAAUAGCAAGCCAAUAGGUUGAUGAAGUUUGCAAAGCCAUAAAACCAGAUUGUGCUAACAUGAUUAAACACAACAUGGAUGUCCCUUUGGAAUAAUUAAUAUAAUCCCAAAAUGGCUUCCAUCCAACGUUACCAAUCACUUUUUCUUCCUCUUGUGUAAGUUGUGUACCAAUUGGAUCCUUGAUGCUAGAAAUCUCUCCCUCACUUUUAUUUUUAGUGAGAUGAAAACCAUGAGAGUCUUGAGGAUUAGGCAAAACCUCAUUUUCGUAACCUCCUCUAUUUUCACUAUCUCGAUUCAACUCAGUAACUUUGUCUUUAUGAGCACUCACAAGUAGUUCAAAGGCUGUUCCAGAUGUUAAAAUAUUCUCAUAACUACCUGAUUGAAUAACUCUUCCACCCUCCAUUACCUAGAAUUUGAGUUCAUCAUGUUAAAUUAUGUUCAGAUAUAAUAUAAUAAACAUCAAAAUGAAAUACUUUACCAAGAUAGUAUCAACUUCUGAGAGAAACUCCACUUGAUGAGUAACUAGAAUGACUGUUUUCUCUCUUAAAGCAUUCAUGACACAGUCCUGUAAUGUUGUAGAGGCAGUUAGUUUGAUGCGCCAAAAUGAGGACAGUAGACAGUUAUAUUGUAACUAGCGGAAUAGUUAAGACAAAACUCAUCACAGUCAUUUAAAAUGGUUAAUUGUACCAAAUGUACACAUAUGUCUGUUUUGAGUUUUUUUUUGGUCCUACAACUGUCAUUUAAAACUCACCAUUACCAUUUUUCACACAUUCCAUUACAAAUAUACACACAUGUCUGUUUUAUGUUAGUGACGUGGCAGGAACAUGCCUGACAAAUUAUCCUAUGUGUACUUCUUUUGCAUCGCCUACAUGUACCUCUUGCCCAUUUCUAAAUUAGGUUCAGCAAUUUGUUGACAAAUACUGCGCGAUAGAGUAGAUGAACUGGGGGAAUCACCCUAUGAGAAUAGGCCGUGUAGUCCCAAAUGUAUCCGUUGCCCAAUACACACACAAUAUGAUUUAAAUAACUUAUGUGGGACAAAGGAAUUAAUACAAUUAAACAAUUUAUAGGAAUGCAAGAUGUAUUUGUCCUUAACAUGAUAAAACGUUAUAUUUGCUUACAUUGAAUAGUAUUGCAGCUGUAUGAGCAUCAACUGCACUAAAAGGAUCAUCAAGGAGAUAAAUAUCAGCAUCAUUGUAGACUGCUCUAGCUAGUUGAAUCCUUUGCUUUUGUCCUCCACUUAUAUUGAUCCCUCUCUGACCUAUUUCUGUAAGAUCACCAUGGCUGAAAUCAUUGAUAUCCUUAUCUAAGGCACAAGCUUUAAUUGCUUUCUCAUAUCUUGUUUUGUCCAUGGUCUUGCCAAAUAGUAUAUUAUCUUGAACUGUUCCACUUUGUAUCCAAGAAGACUGAGAAACAUAGGCAAGAGUUCCACCUACAUUAACCUGUUCUCCAUUAUAGUAAAAUAUCAUGCGGUGAAAAUGUUCAAGAUACUAAUACUAUGUUUAUUCACAUGAACGUGGCAUGAUAAAAAUCUAAAUCUGUUUUACUAAUUUCAGAUACAAAUAAUAUGUUUAUUCUUAUGAAUUUGGCAUGAGAAAAAUUUAAAUGAUAAAAUAUCCAAGUUAGACUUGAAAUUAUAGGGCUGUAUCGACCUAGUCUCUCACAUUAUUAAUACUACAAAUCAUCUGUGAAAUCGCAAAAUGUCUUUCAAGUUUAUCCCUCUUUUUGGAUAUUUGCUCAUUUAAAUAUGUUCUAUUAGUAACUUACAGUUCCUGAAAUCUUUGGAAUCUCUCCUAGUAUUGAAUACAAAAGAGAUGAUUUUCCAGCUCCAACUGGUCCACAAACUGCAAUUUUCUGUCCCCGCCUGAUUUCUAUAUUAACAUCUCUUAAAGUUGGAGACACUGAUUCAUGAUCCCAAAUGAAGUUUCCAUCUUGAAUUUCCAUAGCAUUAACUGAAAAUUGCUUCAAGCUUCUUUCGCCAUCAUCAUUGUUUAUCUCUUCAUCAAGCAAAAAGUUAUUAAGACGAUCAAACGAAACUUUCACCUGAAUCAUAAUGGAAAGAGCCUCUGGGAUCAAUUUAAAUGGUUCUCCCAUGUUCCUCAAUGUUGCAAGAACUGUGAAAACGGUUUCAGCAUUCAAUGGUGCACUUUUGGAAACAGCACAUCCAAGGAAAACAACGGCGGAUAUAACAGUAGGAGACAUCCAAUAAAGAAAUGAACUAGAAGCUCUCAGGAUCUGUGCCUUAUACAGCCAUACAAACUCUUUAUCACGUAGCGACUCGAUUAAGUUCUUAAAUUUUUUUUCCCAUGAUUGUAACUUAAUGAUCUUCAUACUAUUUAGAACUUCCGAAGUUGAUCGAAGACGUUCGUCCUGUGAAAUCAUAAACUGUGACUGACAAUUUUGUAGGAUCCUUGCAAAUGGUACAUUGAGGAGUCCACAUAUAAGAAGAGGGACUAAACCUGGAAGAGCACCAAUACCUACAACACCAAAAAGAAUAAAAAUAGACAAAACAAUUUGAAGUGCAGAAGCCCAUGCCAUAUGAAACCACCAUGGAAAUUCUCCCAUUCUAUAUGCAUCAACUACAAUGUAAUUCACAAUUUCACCGGCCGAGUGUCUUGUCCUUGCCGAGCUAGAAAGCUUUAGUUGCUUUUGAUAAAUUGCCACCAUAAGAGCUGAUCUCAUUUUCAUUCCUGACCUCCUUGAGUUAAAAAACCAAUGUCUUUGAGACAGAGAAUCAACUAAUUUGGUUAGAAUUAAAAUACCAACUAUGGAAAGACCUUGUUUGAGAUCUGCCUCAGUUCUAUUUGAGUAGUUAACAAAAGCAUAAAGUAUAAGAGGUGAAACUACAGCAGAAAUAGUUCUGAUUAAUGCAUAAAAUGCUAUUAAUAUGUUUUCUUUUAAGAAAGUUCUAAUUAUAGACCAAAGAACCAAACUCUUUGUAUUAUUCUUUGUCUUGUCUCUAACAAGUGAUUCCCAAGCACGAACGAAUUUUUGAUAAGCCAUGUCUGCUUCAUCUUCAGAAACAAGGGAAGGUAUGUCUUCAAGAUCUAGUGGCUUUGAGUAACCUAAUCUGAGUAGAGAAUUAACCCAAGAGAAAAUCAACUUGCUGAGAAAAGUAGCAUGGCCUAGUCCUGUUUGUUUUGUUUCAACUUUCUGAGCUAGCAAUGGCUCAGAAAUAUCACCUGCAUAUAUAUAAUCCAUUAAAGAGAAACAAUUAAUCAAUGUUCCAAGGUUGAGUAGUGUUAGAAAAACAUAGCCGGCUCUAAAGUAAACCGAUAAUUAAAUGCACACCAGAAAACAACAAUUGAUCACAGAUUCGGCCAAUUAUGCCUUAGUAUUUAAACACAUUUUGUACUCUCUAUAGUCUGGACAGUGACAAACAACACAUUAUUCAUAUUUAUGUUAAACAAUUGAAUUUGAAGUUACCCUUUACGAUGAUGACGUUGAAGUUUUGCUUUUGAGUUCAAAAUAGGUGCAGAGGAUGAAGCUAUAGACAUCCUUUACAAUCUUCAAUUAUCAGAAAAAUGUUUUAACACUCUUUAACUUAAAAAAUAGAGAAUUUUUAGACUCUUCAAUGAGAUUUUUCUAAGCGGGUAACUACAAUUCAAGAACAUGCACAGUUUUAUGUUGAAAUCUAUAUCAAAAGUUGUUAAUCCAUCGAAACUACAGAAUAUAAAAACAGUUUUUCGUCAAAUUAGUUCAACUUCUUAAGGAUCAGAUUUAAACAAAAAAAAAAAAAAUCAAAAGCAACACUACAAAAGUUAAUUCAACUUGUGGAGUUCGGGAGAAAAAGAGUAAGAGCAGUGGAAUCAGAUUGUGUUUCUGUUUUAACCGAACUUCUUCUUCAUUGGAAAGGAAGAAAGCCAUGCGAGAUGAUUUUGGUGCUUUUGGAGAUGUUAUGUCGAUGUGCUGAUGGAAGAUUUAAACUUUUAAGACAUACUUGGCCCAGAGUCGCAAGUCUCAUACUCCAUAAGUUUCUGGUUUAGUGGAUUUAUUUGCUCGGGAUUAGAACAGAAAUACAUGUUAAUAAUCACAUCUUCAUACAAAGCUUUGGACAUACAAAAUCAAAUGAGUUACCUAUGGUGUUCUCAUUCUCAAAGUAAGUCAUUUUUGGAGCUUGAAAUUGAAUGUCUUGUGCUUCUUAGCUCAGCAGAAUUGACUGAGUUGUGAACAUGGAAGGAUCUAAGGCUUAUUAAUAUGGGGCAGUUGCACUGAUAUUUUAAAUUUUUGUGCCCCCUUAAAUUAAUGUCUUCACUCCAUUGAAUUAAAUACAAUACAAGAUCACCACAGAAGAUUCUACAUUUUUUUUUAUAUAAAAAAGUUCCUAUUCUAAUCAAAUAAAUAAUCACGUGGGAUGAAUUUUUGAAUUGUUGGUUGGUCAAGUAAAUAAAGAGAGAUAAUUGAAAAUGAAAAAAUCUUACAAAACUUUUGAAAAUUUAAAGACAAGUAGAAGAUAAUUAUAAUUUUAUGUAUAUUAAGUGUCUUAAUUUUUGUUUUUUUAUAAGAAAAAGUUUAGACGAAUUGGAGUCCGAGAUUUCACAAGAGUUAGAAUAGAUCUCAAUGCUCAAAGAGCACUUAAAAAUCAUCCACCACGUCAAUAUUUAUAUUUUCAAACCCUUACCAACUCUCAUUAUUUAUGAGAGCGGUCAACUCUUGUACUUUUCUUCAUGUCAAUAUUUAUAUUUUCAACCACUCUUCUUUUUAUAGUACUAGUUUUUGUAGCAGUUGUCUUGCUAUUAAUAUUAUUUCGUUUUCUGGGGACUACGUAGUACGUAUGAUGCAGUUUUUUUCGUAACAAGUUACCUUGCUGCUGCCUUUUGAACCGUGGCAUUUUUAUGAUUAUAUUAAGGAAAAUAUAUCAGCUAUCUCUAUGCAUACAAACUGGUUUUCAUAACAUUGUUCUUAACAAAAUGAUUAUUAUUUGAACCUCAAAAUUAAAAAGAAUCUUAACACUAAUGAAAUUAAAGUAGUGGACAAUUAUCUUAUGCAGCAAGAUAAUACUGAUUGAAUUUGCUGAGAAGCAUCUUCACAGUACCUGCUUCAGGUUUAACACAUUUAUUAUAUAUAGAUUAGGGAGAACAACUAAAUUUAAAUAUGUACAUAUAUAAAAAAUUCAAGAAAUCAAUUUUUUCCCUUUAUUCUUCUGGGAUCAUAACUACUGGGGUGGGGUGUGAACUAUAUUCCCUCAAUUUAUUUAUAAUCUUUAUUUUCCAAUAAGUCAUUACUCAUCGCUUCAUCCUGAUAAUCUUUGUGAGGAACUCUUCCUGCAACUAGACCAAUAUUCAGCUACCAGCUUAGAGAAUGAUGAGUUUGUAUCCAUUAGCUUUGAAGGCUCAUCAUAUUCCACAAGUUUCCCUUUAAUAAACCAGCAAAAAAUUAUGAGGCAAAAAUAGAAAACAAAAGUAGAGAAGAUUAAGGAAAUAACAUACCAUAAGAUAGGACCAUGACCAUGUCACUGUCUAUUACAGUUGGAACUCUGUGAGCCACAGUUAUAACUGUGCAUUCUGAAAAUUCUUGUCUAAUUACUCUUUGUAGAAUUGCAUCCGUCGCAGAGUCAAUGGAUGCUGUUGCUUCAUCCAGAACAAGAAUUCUGUUUCUCUUAAGUAGAACUCUUCCAAGGCAAAACAAUUGCCUUUGUCCCAAGCUCCAAUUUCCACCUUCAUCGCUCACUGCAAAACUUAUCAGAGUUAAGACUUUCAUGCCUUAUUUAAUGGUUGCAAAAUCAUAUGUUGAACAAUAGAAUAGAAAUGAAUAGCUGUAGCUUCAAUGAUUAUAUAGUUUCCUUAAUGUUGAAAGACUUACCAGAAGAGUCUAAGAGAUUUGGUAGCUUGCUGAUUGUUUCCUUAAGCUGACAUUUUUCUACAGCCUAAAUAUACAAAUCAAAUUUUAUUUUAUUGAAUGGCUCAUGUAAAAUUCAACUGCAAUUAAAGUUGUUAAUUCACCUUCCAUAUUUCAUCAUCUGAAUACAGGCCUAGAGGGUCCAGGUUUGUUCUAAUGCUGCCCUUGAAAAGUGUUGGUUCUUGAGGAAUGAUGCUUAGCUUUGUUCUCAAAUCCUUCAAUCCGAUUGAGCAUAUGUUAACCCCAUCUAUAAGAAUAUCACCUCUUGAAGGCUCAACUAAGCGAAACAAAGCACUAAUCAGUGUGCUUUUCCCACUUCCAGUCCUUCCAACAACUCCUACCCUACUUCCUUCUUUAAAUGUACAAAUGAUUCCCUUAAGUACUAAUGGACUAUUAGGACGAUAUCUAAUCUGAAACCAAUGUAAAAAACAGCCAUCAGAGAACAAUUUUCUGUUCAAUUCAGAAAUAUAAAGGAGAAAACUGAAAGUAGAGGUGAAAAAAAGACAUGGUGUAGUAUUAUAGGAAAUUUCAAGUUGAUAUCAGAGGUUAUACUAAAUUCGUCAUUGGGAUGGAUUCCCAAAUACUAGGACAUGGAUGCAACAUUACCUCUAAGCCUUGAAGAUCAAUCUUGCCCUUGGAAGGCCAUGAAGAUGGUGGUCGGUUAUUAUCCACAAUGGCAGGCGGUUCAGCUGGUAUGUGAAUGAAUUGGUUGAUUCUUUCAACGGAGAUAAUAUGGUUUGAUAAGUUGGAAAACCAUCUACUCCAAAAUAUUUGGGCUCCUGUCAAAGUAAAAGCAUAAGAAAGAGACAGCCCCACAAGGCCUGCACACAACAGAAGAGUUGCCAAGAGUUAUUAGCUUGAACAAAAUCUUGUCAUGGUAAAUGUUAAUAGAACUAUUAUAUUACAGGUUUAAAUAUGUGUUUGUAUAUGCGAAUAUGCAAUUUUUUCUUUUAGUCUCUGAAUCUUUUUUUGAAGUCCCUGCAAAUAUUUCAUUUUUUGUUUUUAUUUUAUUUUAGACCCUGAAAUAUUUGCUUACUUAGAAUUGAUCCCUGUAAUAUGUAGAACAUUUGAUUUUGUCCCUUCAAUAUGAUCUACAUAAGAACUAAAAUGAAUAUUACACUUAUUACAAGGGCCAAUUACAGUUCGAACAAAUUUUGCAGGGAAUAAAACAAAACAACAAGGACUUGAAGGAAAAUGUGGUAUAUUUGUAAGCACUAAAAAUGGAAAAAAAUAACAGGAACAAAAAACAAAAUUUGAUAUAUUUGCAGGAACCAAAAAUAUAUUUAAACCUAUGUUAUAUUAUUACCUGGGGAUACAUAUCCCUGAGGAAGUAGAAUAAGCAAAAGAGCUGCAGUGAUGACAGUCAAGUUUUGAAGUGCUUCAAUCCUUAAAACCACCCAUUCCAUGGCCCCAUUUGAAUGAAAGAACAAUGAAGCAUCUGUGUCCACAAGUUUCAAGUAGUUUUUGAAAAAUCUGUCUACCAUGUUGAAUGAUCUUACUGUAACUACUCCAAGUGAUGUCUCAGCUGCAAAAUUCAUGACUGGAGCUUUGGUGGUUCCGUUGAUCCGUAUUAGUUCACUUGCAGUGGCUUGAUAAUAUUGCUUUAAGGAAUAAUAAAAAGGAAGAUUAAGAAGUUCUUAGCUCAAUGAUCUAACCUUGUACAUAGAAUGAGGGAUCAAGAAAACUUAGAAAGCGGCUAAACCUGAACGUAUAUUGAUGCAACCAUUGCAGGAACAGCAACAAUGAGAACUUGCCAUGUGACUGAAGCCACUACACAAAUUAUGACCAAAACUUCAAUUGCUAUUGAUGCUACAAAGGUGAUGGAAUAAGGUAUAUCAAAGUCCAAAAUACUCAAAUCUGAUGAAG